rnacentral:rRNA from 1 species
AACGAACGCUGGCGGCAUGCCUAACACACGCAAGUCGAACGAGACCUUCGGGUCUAGUGGCGCACGGGUGCGUAACGCGUGGGAACCUGCCCUUAGGUUCGGAAUAACUCCCCGAAAGGGGUGCUAAUACCGGAUAAUGUCUUCGGACCAAAGAUUUAUCGCCUUUGGAUGGGCCCGCGUUGGAUUAGCUAGUUGGUAGGGUAAAAGCCUACCAAGGCGACGAUCCAUAGCUGGUCUGAGAGGAUGAUCAGCCACACUGGGACUGAGACACGGCCCAGACUCCGACGGGGGGAGGGGGGGGGAAAUAUUGGAAAGGGGGCGAAGGCUGGACCCAGAAAGGCGGGGGGAGGGAUGAGGGCUUUGGGGUUGAAAAGCUUUUUUACCCGGGAGGAUAAGGACAGUACGGGGAAAAAAAGCCCGGGCAACCCCCGUC